rnacentral:tmRNA from 1 species
GCCCUUGCGGGGGCGGGGGGGCUUGCCUAUAUUCCACCCUGUUCGGGGCAACCCGGACUAUGGUGAUAAACGCACCUGUAAUAGACGGCUCGGACCCGGGGGCGGUACCCGGCGACUCCACCAAUUCACCCGGUCAUUGCGGGGGUCUGGGGUCGAAAUAGGAUCGACGAACGUUCAAAGAGGCCAGCUUUUACCCGGUGAGGUACCACCGUUAUCGGUCCAAGAUCACAGUUGCCAAUGACAACCGUGCUCCGAUGGCGCUGGCCGCGUAAGCGGCUCGCAAUAUCAAACCUAAGUCCUUGCGCUUAGCCGCGUAAGGCGGGGUUCGCAGGUACCUGGCAACAGAAACCUGCACU